rnacentral:rRNA from 1 species
GAUGAACGCUAGCGGCAGGCCUAACACAUGCAAGUCGAGCGGGGUUUUCGGACCUAGCGGCGGACGGGUGAGUAAUGCGUAGGAAGCUACCCGAUAGAGGGGGAUACCAGUUGGAAACGACUGUUAAUACCGCAUAAUGUCUACGGACCAAAGUGUGGGACCUUCGGGCCACAUGCUAUCGGAUGCGCCUACGUGGGAUUAGCUAGUUGGUGAGGUAAUGGCUCACCAAGGCGACGAUCCCUAGCUGGGUUGAGAGGAUGAUCAGCCACACUGGAACUGAGACACGGUCCAGACUCCUACGGGAGGCAGCAGUGGGGAAUAUUGGACAAUGGGCGCAAGUCUGAUCCAGCCAUGCCGCGUGUGUGAAGAAGGCCUUCGGGUUGUAAAGCACUUUCAGUAGGGAGGAAGCGUUGUGUGUUAAUAGUACACAGCGUUGACGUUACCUACAGAAGAAGCACCGGCUAACUCUGUGCCAGCCGCCGCAGUAAGAC